rnacentral:hammerhead_ribozyme from 1 species
AUCCAGCUGAUGAGUCCCAAAAUAGGGCGAAACGCGCGUCAAACUGGAU